CGGCGUUCAGGACUGCCCGGUAGCCGGGAUGCCCGUCCCUCAAAGACCCACCUCGUACCCCCGGGCCGGGGAGGCUCGGGAAACGCAACGCCCCGAUGCUUAGGGCGGUUUAGAACCGCUCGGCCCAAUUAGGACCGAGGCAGGGGCGCCCUUACUAACCGCUCUUACUAAUCGGGUCUCCCGCCGCCGAUCCGGGGAAGCGCCGAUCACCCGUGCCGGAAGGAGAUGGGCGCCCCUGGGAGACGAUGCUCGGGUCGAAAGAGGCGAUCGUCAAAUACGGAAGGAGAAAUCGCAACCUGCGUUACAGUCGAGGCCUCUGGAUGCGCGAGAAAUCGUCGUAAAGCCGUGGAAGAAUAGGCGAAAUGUACAGCGGUCACGUUCGAAUUAUACAUCACGAGGCAUGAGACCACUGAGGCCCAGAGAAGCAAAGUGAC